rnacentral:rRNA from 1 species
GACGAACGCUGGCGGCGUGCUUAACACAUGCAAGUCGAACGGAAAGGCCCUGCUUUUGUGGGGUGCUCGAGUGGCGAACGGGUGAGUAACACGUGAGUAACCUGCCCUUGACUUUGGGAUAACUUCAGGAAACUGGGGCUAAUACCGGAUAGGAGCUCCUGCUGCAUGGUGGGGGUUGGAAAGUUUCGGCGGUUGGGGAUGGACUCGCGGCUUAUCGGCUUGUUGGUGGGGUAGUGGCUUACCAAGGCUUUGACGGGUAGCCGGCCUGAGAGGGUGACCGGCCACAUUGGGACUGAGAUACGGCCCAGACUCCUACGGGAGGCAGCAGUGGGGAAUAUUGCACAAUGGGCGGAAGCCUGAUGCAGCAACGCCGCGUGCGGGAUGACGGCCUUCGGUUUGUAAACCGCUUUCGCCUGUGACGAAGCGUGAGUGACGGUAAUGGGUAAAGAAGCACCGGCUAACUACGUA